rnacentral:tRNA from 1 species
GCCUAAGAGACCCUAUAGGAAUGGGUGCCCGGUGUCCAGCCGGGAAGCUGCAAGUUCGAAUCCUGCCUUAGGCU